GUGCUCGCUUGAGCAGCACACAGGAAAAAAAUUGGAACAAUACAGAGAAGAUCAUCAUGACCUUUGAGCAAGGGUGACACAAAAUUUGUAGAGUGUUCCAUAUUUUA
ensembl:snRNA U6 U6 spliceosomal RNA